rnacentral:rRNA from 1 species
CGGACGGGUGGAGUAACGCGUGGAAAACCUGCCGUAUACUGGGGGAUAACACUUAGAAAUAGGUGCUAAUACCGCAUAAGCGCACAGCUUCGCAUGAAGCGGUGUGAAAAACUCUGGUGGUAUACGAUGGUUCCGCGUCUGAUUAGCUAGUUGGUGGGGGUAAUGGCCUACCAAGGCAACGAUCAGUAGCCGGCCUGAGAGGGUGAACGGCCACAUUGGGACUGAGACACGGCCCAAACUCCUACGGGAGGCAGCAG